GUCCACGCUGUAAACGAUGGCCACUCGGCCUUUGGGGGCGGAAUCUCCGUCGCUGGGGGCCUUAGCUAACGCGGGAAGUGGCCCGCCUGGGAACUACGAGCGCAAGCUUAAAACUCAAAGGAAUUGACGGGGGCCCCGCACAAGCAGCGGAGCGUGUGGUUUAAUUCGACGCAACGCGCAGAACCUUACCCAGGUUUGACAUGGCACUGCAAGCCCACGAAAGUGGGUCGCCUUCGAGGGGUGCCACAGAUGCUGCAUGGCUGUCGU
rnacentral:rRNA from 1 species